rnacentral:rRNA from 1 species
CCUACGGGAGGCAGCAGUGGGGAAUAUUGGACAAUGGGGGAAACCCUGAUGCAGCGACGCCGCGUGAGUGAAGAAGUAUUUCGGUACGUAAAGCUCUAUCAGCAGAGAAGAACAUGACGGUACCUGACUAAGAAGCACCGGCUAACUACGUGCCAGCAGCCGCGGGAAUACGUAGGGGGCAAGCGUUAUCCGGCUUUACUGGGGGUAAAGGGAGCGUAGACGGCAGCGCAAGUCUGGAGUGAAAUCGCAUGGGUUAACCAUGGAUUUGCUUUUGAAACUGUGCAGCUGGAGUGCAGGAGAGGUAAGCGGAAUUCCGAGUGUAGCGGUGAAAUGCGUAGAUAUUAGGAGGAACACCAGUGGCGAAGGCGGCUUACUGGCCUGUAACUGACGUUGAGGCUCGAAAGCGUGGGGAGCAAACAGGAUUAGAUACCCCGGUAGUC